rnacentral:misc_RNA from 1 species
CGCACAUUGCGCUCCCUGGUAUUCCUAGGAGCACGCCUGUCUGAGCGUCAGUACACACCCUCCGUCGUCCUCUUUGCGGGGGACGGUCGGGUACUGAGCGGCCGGGAGGGGGAAACCUCGCCCGCCGCUCUAAAGUGGAAAGCCAGCGGCCCGCCUGCCCGUGAAAGACGUAGUGAUGCUCAUGAAUCGUCCGCGAACGGUGGAGGUGUCGGCCAGCCUCGAAUCUUAACUCUUAAGGUUUGACCUCAGAUCAGACGAGGAUACCCGCUGAACUUAA